AGGGUUUGAUCAUGGCUCAGAUUGAACGCUGGCGGCAUGCUUUACACAUGCAAGUCGAACGGCAGCACGGGAGCUUGCUCCUGGUGGCGAGUGGCGAACGGGUGAGUAAUGCACCGGAACGUACCCAGUAAUGGGGGAUAACACAUCGAAAGAUGUGCUAAUACCGCAUACGCCCUGAGGGGGAAAGCGGGGGAUCGUAAGACCUCGCGUUAUUGGAGCGGCCGAUGCCGGAUUAGCUAGUUGGUGAGGUAAGAGCUCACCAAGGCGACGAUCCGUAGCUGGUCUGAGAGGACGACCAGCCACACUGGGACUGAGACACGGCCCAGACUCCUACGGGAGGCAGCAGUGGGGAAUUUUGGACAAUGGGCGAAAGCCUGAUCCAGCCAUGCCGCGUGAGUGAAGAAGGCCUUCGGGUUGUAAAGCUCUUUCGCAAGGAAAGAAAACUUACCUACUAAUACUAGGUGAGGUUGACGGUACCUUGAUAAGAAGCACCGGCUAACUACGUGCCAGCAGCCGCGGUAAUACGUGGGGUGCGAGCGUUAAUCGGAAUUACUGGGCGUAAAGCGCGCGCAGGCGGUUUUGUAAGUCAGAUGUGAAAUCCCCGGGCUCAACCUGGGAACUGCGUUUGAAACUACAAGGCUAGAGUGUAGAAGAGGGGGGUAGAAUUCCACGUGUAGCAGUGAAAUGCGUAGAGAUGUGGAGGAAUACCGAUGGCGAAGGCAGCCCCCUGGGCUAACACUGACGCUCAUGCACGAAAGCGUGGGGAGCAAACAGGAUUAGAUACCCUGUAGUCCACGCCCUAAACGAUGUCUACUAGUUGUUGGUGGAGUAAAAUCCAUUAGUAACGCAGCUAACGCGUGAAGUAGACCGCCUGGGGAGUACGGUCG
rnacentral:rRNA from 1 species